ensembl:lncRNA
CGGGAGCAUAAGAAACUCCACCGGAGAGCUCGUGCAGAGACCCAGCCCGGGAUCAACAGGGUGACCUCGGAGCGCCCGUCGGAGGUCAUAGCACCAGAGCUCAACCCUGAAGCCCAAGUCCAAGUCUCAUCUCAAGUCCCUGAAGCCCAAGUCCAAGUCAAGUCUCAAGUCCCUGAAGCCCAAGUCCCAGUCAAGUCUCAAGUCCCUCAAGCCCAAGGCCAAUUCAACCCUCCAGUCCCUGAGGUCCAAGUCAAGCCUCCAGUCCCUGAGGUCCAAGUCAAGCCUCCAGUCCCUGAGAUCCAAGUCAAGCCUCCAGUCCCUGAGAUCCAAGUCAAGACUCCAGUCCCUGAAGUCCGAGCCAAGUCUCCAGUCCCUGACGUCCGAGCCAGGUCUCCAGUCUCUGAGGUCCGAGCCAGGUCUCCAGUCUCUGAGGUCCGAGCCAGGUCUCCAGUCUCUGAGGUCCGAGCCAGGUCUCCAGUCUCUGAGGUCCGAGCCAGGUCUCAAGUCCCUGAGGACCGAGCCAAGCCUCCCGUCCCUGAGGACCGAGCCAAGCCUCCCGUCCCUGAGGUCACGUCCAAGCCUGCUGAUCCAGUUGACCAAGCUCUGCUAAUAUCUCAGCCUAAUGACAAAAUGCUGCUCACGCCCAAGUCUACCGACCCGGUCGCCCAAGUUCAGCUCACGUCCCAGUCUGCUGACACGCACAGCCAAGUUCCGCCCGCGCCCCAGUCUGCUGACACGCACAGCCAAGUUCCGCCCGCGCCCCAGUCUGCUGACACGCACAGCCAAGCUCCGCCCACGCCCCAGUCUGCUGACACGCACAGCCAAGCUCCGCCCACGCCCCAGUCUGCUGACACGCACAGCCAAGCUCCGCCCGCGCCCCAGUCUGCUGACACGGCCAGCCAAGCUCCGCCCGCGCCCGAGCCUCAGCCCGCCUGUUCAGCUGAGGUCGUCGCUCAGCCCGCCUGUUCAGCUGAGGUCGUCGCUCAGCCCGCCUGUUCAGCUGAGGUCGUCGCUCAGCCCGCCUGUUCAGCUGAGGUCGUCGCUCAGCCCCCCUGUUCAGCUGUGGUCGCCGCUCAGCCUUCCGGCUCCAUGGCAAACGUCGUUCCCCCCUACUGCUU